UAGAAGGAUACUUGUCAAGAAACAAGUAUUCAGUCAGAUAUGAUAAAUUUCAAAGGUGUUUGUAACUUUACUACAGCAUAUUUUGAUUUGCUUGCAGUUAAGACUUUGAAGUACUUAAGACACAUCUGUUGCAGGUUGUAUUCUGGAAAAGGAAAGCUACUUCAAAGUACUAUGCCCAGGAUAAAUUGCUAAUCCAGGUGAACUCCUUGACACUUAGCUUGAGUUCAGCCAUUACUUUAAACACAUGGCAGCAAUUAUUAGACUCCAAAGCUGUAUUAUAUGUACCAAUUCUGUUGUGACUGUACAUGGAAAUGGUCAUAUUAAUGCCAUAUUCUCUGAAAAUUGUGAUGGAGGGGGCAGCAUCUGAGCAGGGGUUAAAAUAAAUAUCUAUUAAAGUGGAUUAUUUUUAAGCUCCAAAUUCUUCUGAGGGAGUUUUGUUCUAAGGUUUUGACUGAUGGGGAGUUUUCCAGCUUGGUAUUUGCUUUGCCAAAGGCAAGUGAUUGCUUUUUCAGUGCAAGCAGUGCCCCCUCGUGCAUCAGCUAGGGCUUUCUGCAUCAUGCCAGAGGGAAAGCAGGAGCAGAAGAGGGAAGAUAAAACAGGUACUGGAAAAAGGAACGUUUUUCUCAUCAGGAGUACUUUUUGUGUGGUGAGCUGUUUCAUCUGUGUUAUAAAUGUUUCCCUAUUCAAUUCAGUAUUCCUUCCUCCCUGCAUGGAGAGAGUUAAAUCAAAGUGGACUGUAAAGGGGUUGUUAAAGGACCAAACAGGAAAUGUAAAACAAUGACACGGAUAAGAAUAGCUUCAGAUACAUAGCUUCAAAGUAGUUAAGAUAAUGGCUGGGUCAUCACUUAAAGAAAAACUAAUGAGCUGGCUCCAUGCAGGCUAGAAUAGGUACUCUUCCCAAGACUAAGUGGGGGAUCAAAGAAUCCUGAAACCUCAAAGAACUAGAACGGGGAGGGAGCUUUGGAUGAGCCAAGAGAGGUUUCCCAGAAUAUGUCAAUUACAGAGCUGACAGGCUGGGAAGACUCACAGUCUGAAAGAAUGUGCUGUAAGCAAUGUAGGCUGUUCCUCCUGAGAGGGUAACUAAUCUGGAUUUAUGUUAAUUAGAGUUUAGAACUUUAGCCAGGAAAUGUGCAUGUAGAAAUUCUUUCCUUUAUUUUUCUUUCCCAUUGUUUAACACCUGGG
rnacentral:lncRNA from 1 species